GUGCCAGCCGCCGCGGUAAUACAGAGGUCCCGAGCGUUGUUCGGAUUCACUGGGCGUAAAGGGUGCGUAGGUGGUGGGGAAAGUCGGAUGUGAAAUCUCGGAGCUCAACUCCGAAAUGGCAUUGGAAACUACCCUGCUUGAGGUUUGGAGGGGGGACUGGAAUUCUCGGUGUAGCAGUGAAAUGCGUAGAUAUCGAGAGGAACACCAGUGGCGAAGGCGAGUCCCUGGACAAAACCUGACACUGAGGCACGAAAGCUAGGGGAGCAAACAGGAUUAGAAACCCGUGUAGUCC
rnacentral:rRNA from 1 species